rnacentral:tRNA from 1 species
GCAUGAUUGCUGAAACUGGUAGACAGGCUGGUCUCAGGAACCAGUGACCGAAAGGUCUUGAGGGUUCGAAUCCCUCAUCGUGCA